rnacentral:rRNA from 1 species
GGUUGAUCCUGCCAGUAGUCAUAUGCUUGUCUCAAAGAUUAAGCCAUGCAUGUCUAAGUAUAAAUAACUACACAGUAAAACUGCGAAUGGCUCAUUAGAACAGUUAUAGUUUAUGUGAUAUAUUAAAUGGAUAACUGUAGGAAACUAGAGCUAAUACAUGCCAAGGCCGACAGGCUGCAUUUAUUAGAUAUACCAAGAAGGUGAAUCAUAAUAACUUUGCAAAUCGAAACUACGUUUCGAUACAUCAUUUAAGUUUCUGACCUAUCAUGCUCUCGAUGGUAGUGUAUUGGA